rnacentral:miRNA from 1 species
GGUGGGAGAAGCUAGGGGAGGAAUGCGAAGGCGAGAGAAAGAGAUCGAGGAAACAUGGGAGGGGCGAGAAAUCCAUUUUUCCUCGCUCUCUUUCUCUCGCCUUCGCAUUCCCCCCCCCCCCUAACUUUUC